AACGCUAGCGACAGGCUUAACACAUGCAAGUCGAGGGGCAGCACAGGUAGCAAUACCGGGUGGCGACCGGCGCACGGGUGAGUAACGCGUAUGCAACCUACCUAUCAGAGGGGGAUAACCCGGCGAAAGUCGGACUAAUACCGCAUGAAGCAGGGGCCCCGCAUGGGGAUAUUUGCUAAAGAUUCAUCGCUGAUAGAUAGGCAUGCGUUCCAUUAGGCAGUUGGCGGGGUAACGGCCCACCAAACCGACGAUGGAUAGGGGUUCUGAGAGGAAGGUCCCCCACAUUGGUACUGAGACACGGACCAAACUCCUACGGGAGGCAGCAGUGAGGAAUAUUGGUCAAUGGCCGAGAGGCUGAACCAGCCAAGUCGCGUGAGGGAUGAAGGUUCUAUGGAUCGUAAACCUCUUUUAUAAGGGAAUAAAGUGCGGGACGUGUCCCGUUUUGUAUGUACCUUAUGAAUAAGGAUCGGCUAACUCCGUGCCAGCAGCCGCGGUAAUACGGAGGAUCCGAGCGUUAUCCGGAUUUAUUGGGUUUAAAGGGUGCGUAGACGGCCUUUUAAGUCAGCGGUGAAAGUCUGUGGCUCAACCAUAGAAUUGCCGUUGAAACUGGGGGGCUUGAGUAUGUUUGAGGCAGGCGGAAUGCGUGGUGUAGCGGUGAAAAUGCAUAGAUAUCACGCAGAACCCCCGAUUGCGAAGGCAGCCUGCCAAGCCAUUACUGACGCUGAUGCACGAAAGCGUGGGGAUCAAACAGGAUUAGAUACCCUGGUAGUCCACGCAGUAAACGAUGAACACUAGCUGUUUGCGAUACACUGUAAGCGGCACAGCGAAAGCGUUAAGUGAUCCACCUGGGGAGUACGCCGGCAACGGUGAAACUCAAAGGAAUUGACGGGGGCCCGCACAAGCGGAGGAACAUGUGGUUUAAUUCGAUGAUACGCGAGGAACCUUACCCGGGUUUGAACGCAUUCGGACCGAGGUGGAAACACCUUUUCUAGCAAUAGCCGUUUGCGAGGUGCUGCAUGGUUGUCGUCAGCUCGUGCCGUGAGGUGUCGGCUUAAGUGCCAUAACGAGCGCAACCCUUGCCACUAGUUACUAACAGGUAAAGCUGAGGACUCUGGUGGGACUGCCAGCGUAAGCUGCGAGGAAGGCGGGGAUGACGUCAAAUCAGCACGGCCCUUACAUCCGGGGCGACACACGUGUUACAAUGGCGUGGACAAAGGGAAGCCACCUGGCGACAGGGAGCGAAUCCCCAAACCACGUCUCAGUUCGGAUCGGAGUCUGCAACCCGACUCCGUGAAGCUGGAUUCGCUAGUAAUCGCGCAUCAGCCAUGGCGCGGUGAAUACGUUCCCGGGCCUUGUACACACCGCCCGUCAAGCCAUGGGAGCCGGGGGUACCUGAAGUCCGUAACCGCGAGGAUCGGCCUAGGGUAAAACUGGUGACUGGG
rnacentral:rRNA from 1 species